rnacentral:rRNA from 1 species
UACGUAGGGGGCGAGCGUUGUCCGGAUUCAUUGGGCGUAAAGAGCUCGUAGGCGGCUUAGCAAGUCGGAUGUGAAAACUCCAGGCUCAACCUGGAGCCGCCAUUCGAUACUGCUAUGGCUAGAGUCCGGUAGGGGAGUGUGGAAUUCCCGGUGUAGCGGUGAAAUGCGCAGAUAUCGGGAGGAACACCGAUGGCGAAGGCAGCACUCUGGGCCGGUACUGACGCUGAGGAGCGAAAGCGUGGGGAGCGAACAGG